CGGACUGCAGGCUGCAACUCGCCUGCACGAAGUUGGAAUUGCUAGUAAUCGUGGAUCAGCAUGCCACGGUGAAUACGUUCCCGGGUCUUGUACACACCGCCCGUCACACCAUGGGAGCCGGUAAUACCCGAAGUCAGUAGUCUAACCGCAAGGAGGACGCUGCCGAAGGUAGGAUUGGCGACUGGGGUGAAGUCGUAACAAGGUAAC
rnacentral:rRNA from 1 species